ensembl:lncRNA
CGCCCCAGGCCUUAAACGUCGUGGAGCCUGCGGACUUCUGCGAGGCUGCCAAUCUCCCCGGCGUUUGCAUCCCGACCCCUUCCGCCAGACCCCGGACGCCGUCCAGCAUAAAAGUUCUCAUACCCAGCGUGGAGGAUCUGUCCCUGGGAGUGUCCUCAUUUCUUCGCCCUCUCUCCCAAAUGUACCACCACACCUCCCUAACCCCCCAAGAUCAGAUCCAGAGAUGGAGAAUUAUCAUUGUUUCUGCGGACACGCGAUCGAGGUCACAUUAAGGCCAGCACCACGCCAAAGUGGCUUCUUAGGCAAACUUCAGUCCAGCACUUCGAAGACAAAGGCCCACUUACACGCAGAGGUAAAGUUUUGAAGAUUGAAACAGAAGAAAAUGAAAGUGUUUACAGAAUACAUUAAUGUUAUGUC